rnacentral:hammerhead_ribozyme from 1 species
ACCCAGCUGACGCGUCCCAAGUAGGACGAAACGCGCGUCAAACUGCAU